rnacentral:misc_RNA from 1 species
GUUUGAUGGAGGUUGGAGGAGCCGACAGUGUACAGUUUAAUGCCUGUACAUGGCCUAGGGUUAAGUAGGCCAUGGCCUGUAUGGAUUUUACUGGUUCUGUCUUCUCGGUCAAAUUGAGAUAGCAAGUUGUUAUUUUUCAACUUUCAGUUUAUACAUUUAAAUUUUUUAUUUAUUAUUCUACUGUAUUGUUUUACUGUGAUUUGGGGCAAUGAUUUAAAGGGCUUAUUUUGUCUGCAAGGCAAGCACCUUCAGAACGCAGCUGCCGAGCGCAAUUCAUUGACCCCGGAAUGUAGGAAUUUAGAGCACUGCGUGUGAAGGUGGACGUCCAUAUAAAAACGGCUAAUUUGGAUAUUACUUAUUCUCGUGUUGUUCGACAGCAAGGGACGCUGCCUACCAUUGAAGUAAUUGUUGUACAAAAUUGUUUUGUGGGUUUCUCCUCUUUCUCUACAUGCAAAUAAGCUAAAUAGUGUUGCACGUCAUGAUUUGCAAUUGGGUGAGUUGCAGUGGAGUUCUGAUCAUGUUGGCCUUGGUUAACAUUACUACAGCUACCACUAAUUUACGCCAAGAAGUAUUUGUUACUCACUUAGUACCACAUGUUUCUGACAAUUUGAUGGUCUAUCAUAGGGAACAUCGGUCACCACCAGCGCUGCCACUAGUUGUAGCUGAUGUAACGAUUGAACGUACGACUCCCAAACGUUUGGCCUUUGCUGAAACACCUAGACCAACUUAUGUUCCACCGACCUCAACACCGGGCAUUAUCAACCUAGUUGUUCCAGUAAUUGUGGAAACUCGAACUACUGCUCGAUUAGCUGAUUCCUCUGCGCUUUAAUUUAACGGUCCUUGAGUUCACUACCUUCGUAAGUUUUAAUCUUUUUAUUUUCACAAGGAACCAUCGCCCACCAUCACACAGAAGAGAUAGGCCUUUUGUGUCCUGUAAAGGUGUUGGCUAAUUUGUAUGGUGGUGGCCCUAUAAAGUCUCUUAAAGUGUGUCUUCUAUUUAUUUUGCCACAAACACCAUCAAUAAAUUCAUCUGUUACACAAGACUCGAUUCAAUCUGAGUAUUAUGGAUGAGACAAACAAAAACGGUGGGUAUUUGCAGUAAUUAAUUUAAGUUUCACGUUGUCCCACAAAUAUUUCGGCGUUCGUCUUUAACUUGAACUUACCCCACCCACUUCGUUUCGUGUUUCAUCGAUUCGGUUAUGUCAUCCCUACCUACCACUCGAAAAGGGGUAGGCGUUUCAUUUCACACCCAACCUGCGCACCCUGUGCUGUUUUCGACUUCUUUCUUUGGUAAAUUUUCUCAGUUUGUGGUUACGUGUUGAUCAGGUCAAACCUUUGCGCGUGCCCAUCUCUUCUCUCUGCAAGCUGAAAUGGAUGACUGCUUGUUUUCUCCUACGGAUCCUGACUCGCCGCUGACUGUGAAUCCUUUCGCCAAGUAGGAGAACGGCAGUACAACUGAAAAUAACGCCAGUCAUCGCCGUGUGCUGCUUAUCCUGUGGCUGCAACGAACCGUGUGGGCUAGAAAAGGAAACGAGCUUUUGACAGAUGGAUUCCAUCAGUUCGCUGGAAUAUCAUCUGAGAAUGUCAAUGAACUCGGAAUAUGAAAUGAAAAAAGUGAAUGUGACGCGAACGACUCGCCUUCCAUUUGUCGCCUUAUAAAAGUUUCACAUCUUUUAGCUGUUGGCAAUCAAGCAUUAUCAUUGACAAUAUCGACGAUCUUUUGAUAGACCUUCAUUUUCAGUAGGGGGUGUAGGAUGGACGGACCACCGUCUUACUUUACGCCACCCACUUUGCCUUAUGUAAGUGUGUUUUUAUCGAUUCUGUUAAGUCAUUCCUUCCUACCACCUAAAAAGGGUAGGCGUUUUAUUUCACACCCAACCUGCAUCCCAAUCCAUUUUCUGGUUCUUUCUUUGAUAAAUUUUCUUAGUUUGCUCUUACUCGACACUCGUUGAGGGCCCGUCUCUUCACCCCACGGAUUGAAGGAUAUUAUCGCUUACUAUUUACUCUGCGUAUUUAUUUAAGUUUAAUGCGAACGUGUAAUUAAUCUACUUGGUUUUUUAGGUACGUACCUCCUUACACCAGCAGUCAUUUGUCAUCUUAAUUGCAAUGUUAACGAUUGGUCGAUUUUUUAUUUGAAACAGCAUAAAAUAGCAUAUUUUUUUUUUUCGUACAUUAUUUCGAAAGAUGUCAAA